rnacentral:rRNA from 1 species
UACGUAGGUGGCAAGCGUUGUCCGGAAUUAUUGGGCGUAAAGCGCGCGCAGGUGGUUUCUUAAGUCUGAUGUGAAAAGCCCACGGCUCAACCGUGGAGGGUCAUUGGAAACUGGGGAACUUGAGUGCAGGAGAGAAGAGUGGAAUUCCACGUGUAGCGGUGAAAUGCGUAGAGAUGUGGAGGAACACCAGUGGCGAAGGCGACUCUUUUGGCCU